rnacentral:rRNA from 1 species
CAACGGAUCUCUUGGUUCUGGCAUCGAUGAAGAACGCAGCAAAAUGCGAUAAGUAAUGUGAAUUGCAGAAUUCAGUGAAUCAUCGAAUCUUUGAACGCACAUUGCGCCCGCCAGUAUUCUGGCGGGCAUGCCUGUUCGAGCGUCAUUUCAACCCUCA